UCAUGCAUCUCACUGGUACACCACCUGCAGUUUGUUCCUGCCAUUUCCCCUUCCGCUCUCUUCUUCCUCGCCUGGAAAUAUUGUGACAAAUGUCUGCAUCGCGUUGCCAGGAGCUAAUUGCAUCAUGUCGUCACAGGCAUGAAUCCACCUAAAUUGUGAUUUAAAAAAAACAAAACAAAACAAAUGUUCUUUCAAUUUGCCACCGUGAGCCCUGCUACUGUGUCGGUUUGAAAAAGAAAUUAAGCAACAAUCAUUAAAGUUGCAGUUGCUUCUUUGAAACAUCAAUGAAACACUUGUCAACUUCUUUGUGCCUGGGGGCCUAGCCGACCUCCUCCACCCUUCUGCACCAAAGAAAUAGUCCUUUAAAUUCUUCCACAGUGCUGGUUAGCAGAGGAAACUCCCUUUGGGAAGUUGAAAUCAAGAAUCAAGUGUCAGUGCCUCUUGUGAUGAUGACCAAUGAGAGGAGAUGCGGCUCAGAUCAAUGGUCUGUUGGAUGGCCUGUUGAACCUGGAUCAAUAGCUGCUGGCUGAGCUAAAUAGUUUGCUGGCAGUCCCCGGUGCAACAAGGUUAAGUCAUCCUUUUGACAGAGAUGGAAAGGGUUAUUAUCUGACGCUGCUCUGGAUUCAUGCUGUGUGAGACAAAGGUGCAUUUGGAUCGAUACACAUAUAAGUGCUGUGGCUGAGACACUAAGCCUGGUCUAGUACAUCAUACGUACUAACUGUAAUAUAAAUCUGGCUCGCUAUCAAAGGGUCAAAGAAGCCGACGCACUUAUUGUCAUUUGUUAUUGUUGUUUUUUUUUCAUUCACAAUCUUGAUUAGCUUUGCAAUUGGACUUGCAAAUAAAAAUGCAAUUGGACUUGUUUGAAUUGGUUGGAAAUAAAACAUUUAAAAAUGUAAUUGGAGGAAAUAGCUUUAGGGGGUUUUAACACAGUGUAAAAAAAAAAACCCUACUUGGGCUGUUGUAGAUUAUUUUUCAAGGGUUUCCAAUUUUUAGCCCAUGCCCUGAACGGCACUCCGUAACAACACACUCAUGUCCAAUUAUGUUUUGAAAAUGAAAUUAUCUAUCACUGGGAAAACCACUGACAUUUUGUCCCUCACUUGCAAGCAAUUCCAAUAGAAAGAUACUACAAAUUUAAUUGGCUAAUGGGAGUUGCCAGUAAGAGAGAGAGAGGAAAGGCAAUAAUUGCAUUUGAAUUUCAGAUUCUUACUACUAAAUCCUAAGCUUCUAAGGCAUAGGAAGGAACAAACAUCAGCAUUUCACCCUGGGAAGAAAAAAACAGCAAGGACAGCAAGAUAGCUGACUGCUUGCUAGACAAUAAACAGCUGACACUAUA